rnacentral:misc_RNA from 1 species
GAUGAAGAACGCAGCGAAAUGCGAUACGUAAUGUGAAUUGCAGAAUUCAGUGAAUCAUCGAGUCUUUGAACGCACAUUGCGCCCCCUGGUAUUCCGGGGGGCAUGCCUGUCCGAGCGUCAUUGCUGCCCUCAAGCACGGCUUGUGUGUUGGGCCUCCGUCCUCCUCCCGGGGGACGGGCCCGAAAGGCAGCGGCGGCACCGCGUCCGGUCCUCGAGCGUAUGGGGCUUCGUCACCCGCUCUUGUAGGCCCGGCCGGCGCUUGCCGACACAUCAAUCUUUUUUCCAGGUUGACCUCGGAUCGGGUAGGGAUACCCGCUGAACUUAAGCAUAUCAAUAAGCGGAGGA